rnacentral:hammerhead_ribozyme from 1 species
ACCUUGCUGACGCGUGCCAAGUAGCACGAAACCCGGGUCCAAGGU